rnacentral:rRNA from 1 species
GAAGAGGAAGAGACGGCUAACUCUGUGCCAGCAGCCGCGGUAAUACAGAGGUCUCAAGCGUUGUUCGGAUUCAUUGGGCGUAAAGGGUGUGUAGGUGGCGCGCUAAGUCGGGCGUGAAAUUUCGGAGCUUAACUCCGAAACUGCAUUCGAUACUGGCGUGCUUGAGGACUGGAGAGGAGACUGGAAUUUACGGUGUAGCAGUGAAAUGCGUAGAUAUCGUAAGGAAGACCAGUGGCGAAGGCGGGUCUCUGGACAGUUCCUGACACUGAGACACGAAGGCCAGGGGAGCAAACGGGAUUAGAUACCCCGGUAGUCCUGGCAGUAAACGGUGCACGUUUGGUGUGGGAGGAUUCGACCCCUUCUGCGCCGGAGCCAACGCGUUAAACGUGCCGCCUGGGGAGUACGGUCGCAAGAUUAAAACUCAAAGAAAUUGACGGGGGCCCGCACAAGCGGUGGAGUAUGUGGCUCAAUUCGAUGCAACGCGAAGAACCUUACCAGGCCUUGACAUGCAUCUCUAAGUUGGUGAAAGCCAGCGAGUGUCGAAAGACACAAUUUGCACAGGUGCUGCAUGGCUGUCGUCAGCUCGUGUCGUGAGAUGUUGGGUUAAGUCCCGCAACGAGCGCAACCCCUGUGAACUGUUGCCACGGAACCGAGAGGUUCCAGCACUCUGUUCAGACUGCCUCGCUUAAACGAGGAGGAAGGUGGGGACGACGUCAAGUCAGUAUGGCCCUUACGGCCUGGGCUGCACACGUACUACAAUGCCCAGUACAGAACGAUCCGAUACCGCGAGGUGGAGGAAAUCACUUAAAACUGGGCCCAGUUCGGAUUGAAGGCUGCAAUUCGCCUUCAUGAAGCCGGAAUCGCUAGUAAUGGCGCAUCAGCUACGGCGCCG